UUGCUUCUUCGCUGACGAGUGGCGGACGGGUGAGUAAUGUCUGGGAAACUGCCUGAUGGAGGGGGAUAACUACUGGAAACGGUAGCUAAUACCGCAUAACGUCGCAAGACCAAAGAGGGGGACCUUCGGGCCUCUUGCCAUCGGAUGUGCCCAGAUGGGAUUAGCUAGUAGGUGGGGUAACGGCUCACCUAGGCGACGAUCCCUAGCUGGUCUGAGAGGAUGACCAGCCACACUGGAACUGAGACACGGUCCAGACUCCUACGGGAGGCAGCAGUGGGGAAUAUUGCACAAUGGGCGCAAGCCUGAUGCAGCCAUGCCGCGUGUAUGAAGAAGGCCUUCGGGUUGUAAAGUACUUUCAGCGGGGAGGAAGGGAGUAAAGUUAAUACCUUUGCUCAUUGACGUUACCCGCAGAAGAAGCACCGGCUAACUCCGUGCCAGCAGCCGCGGUAAUACGGAGGGUGCAAGCGUUAAUCGGAAUUACUGGGCGUAAAGCGCACGCA
rnacentral:rRNA from 1 species